rnacentral:rRNA from 1 species
AACUGCUUUUGUACCGGAAUAAACCCCUUUACGUGUAAAGGGCUGAAUGUACGGUAAGAAUAAGGAUCGGCUAACUCCGUGCCAGCAGCCGCGGUAAUACGGAGGAUCCAAGCGUUAUCCGGAUUUAUUGGGUUUAAAGGGUGCGCAGGCGGCCUGUUAAGUCAGGGGUGAAAGACGGUGGCUCAACCAUCGCAGUGCCUUUGAUACUGACGGGCUUGAUUACACAUGAGGCAGGCGGAAUGUGACAAGUAGCGGUGAAAUGCAUAGAUAUGUCACAGAACCCCGAUUGCGAAGGCAGCUUACUAAAGUGUAAAUGACGCUGAGGCACGAAAGCGUGGGGAUCAAACAGGAUUAGAUACCCUGGUAGUCCACGCCCUAAACGAUGAAUACUCGAUGUUGGCGAUAUACAGUCAGCGUCCAAGCGAAAGCGUUAAGUAUUCCACCUGGGGAGUACGUCCGCAAGGAUGAAACUCAAAGGAAUUGACGGGGGCCCGCACAAGCGGAGGAGCAUGUGGUUUAAUUCGAUGAUACGCGAGGAACCUUACCCGGGCUUGAAAGUUAGUGAAUAAUCCAGAGAUGGAUUAGCCCUUCGGGGCACGAAACUAGGUGCUGCAUGGCUG